ACAAAUUAGAACCAUCAGUUGUUGUUUUCGUUUGGAUUUUGUUUCAGUCUUAUGAUUUUACGCUUUGAUUUGCUAUGAUAAGUGUUUGUUUUAGGUUUAUAGUUUAUGCAGCUGAUUAGGUUACAUUAUUUGUUCGAUCAGGUUAUAAUUUAAUAUACACAAAUAAGAACGUUCCGGUCUUAUGAUUUUAUGCUGUAUUUUGCUCUGAUAUGUGAUUGUGUUGAUGUAUAGUUUAUGCAGUUGAUUUGGUUAUAUCUUGUUUGAAUCAGGUUAUAAUUAUAUUUACACAAAUUAGAAUCAUCGGUUGUUUUUCGUUUCAGUAUUAUGAUUUUAUGCUUUGUUUUGCUCUGAUAUAAGAUUGUUUUGUUCUAGGUUUGUAGUUUUUACAGCUAAUUUGGUUAUAUUUUGUUUGAAUCGAAGAGUGUGUGUUGUAUAGAUGUAGGGGGAUGUUCCACGGUCCUCCCAACCGCCGAGGUGAUCCCACCUCGCAGACCGCCACCCAGCAAGCCUGAGUCUGGGGGUAAAUCCGCUACCGUAGGGGCAUUGGGAACAAGCAAGACUCGAACCCGCCACCUCCGGGUUAGAAUGCGGGCUGGUGGCCAUUGGGCUGACACCCAAUGGUUGUGUGUUGUAUAGAUGUAGAAUACUGUUGUGAUUUGAAUUGCGUUAGUUUAUUGUACGUAACGUUUAGAAGGAAAUGCUGAGUUGAAUUUGUAAUAGUGUGUUGUUUAUAGUUUAUACAGCUGAUUCGGUUAUAUUUUGUUUGAAUCGAAGACUGUGUGUUGUAUAGAAUUAGAAUACUGUUGUGAAUUGCUUUAGUUUAUUGUAAGUAAUGAUUAGAAGGAAACGAUGAGUUGAAUAUGUAUUAGUUUGCUGCACAAUCGGAUAUGCAUUGUGCUGCCGUGUUUUCCCACCUUAACACUAAUGCUUGGUUUAAAAAAGCGGGAAGCGUAUAAAAGCGACGAGGUCUAAAACCGAGGCGCAAAGCGCAAAAGCAGUGAGCUUUUCGUACGCAAGGUGCAAGAGGAAGAAGAGGAGCACAAUUGGUAUGAACACACUUAUGGGAUAUGGCUAUCCGCUAAUUCAUCCUGGAGGUGAUGAAGUUGAUCCGGAAUGGGAUUCAUCACAAAUCACAAUUGGUCAUGUGGAUGGAAAUAGUGACCUAGCUCACAGUGUGCUUGAGAACUGAUUUAGAAUGCAUUGGUGCAUCCAUCGCAUGGCCCUAUCCAUUCAUCUCGGUAGUCCAUGAGGAUUGAGGACGCAUGAUGACUCAAGAUUUUAUGUUUCUUAUUUCUUUAAUUGCUUUUAAUUUCUUUGUUAAAUGUUAAGACUUUAUGUUAGAUAAUGUUAUAACUUAUUUAUGGUUACUGUUUUUGUUAUGAACAUGCUUAUUUGAAAUAUAAUGAAGUUUUACUUCUUUCAUUA